CCUUUGAAAAACAACAUUUCCCAUUCAAAAUUUUCUUUAUAUAGCCUCAAAAUUUGAUCAAGAACUCAUCGCUUGUUGAAAAGAGAGAAAAUUGGAGAAAAAAUGGUGAGGAUCACUCCUAAGGUUGCAAUGGUGAUGAGCAUCAUGUUGGUGUUGCUACUCACAAGCUCUUGCUUCCUUAUUCAUGCCAACCGACCCUUGCUUCAAGUGAAGAAUCAACACCAAUUUGAGAUUGAGGAUGAUAAUAAAGUUGAUGUGAAUAAUAAACAUCACGAGUGUCCUCGGAGUAGUUAUCCGUGCUGGAAGAUAGAUGCAGCCGCUGGAAAUAAACAUUAAAUCUCGUUUUAUCUGUCCACGAGUUUUAAAAAUAAUGAAAUUAAAACUAAAAUGUUUAUCGAACGACCCUAAAUUACUUGUAAUGCCAAGUUAAAGACUCGUUUCUUGAGUCAUGGAGACAUGAUGAAAUGAGUAUGUAUAUAAAUAAGUUAUGGUGUGGGUGUGUAUACAAAAUAGGAGACAUGAUGAAAUGAGUAUGUAUAUAAAUAAAUUAUGGUGUGGGCGUGGGAACAAAAUAUUAGGUAUAGUUUCGUAUUCCUGGUAUUGAAAGCUGCUUUGGUAUGUAUUUUCUUGUAAUUUUAUCUGUAAAAUCAGAUAUUAAGUUUGUGUAA